GCCUGGGUGGUUCAGUUGGUUGAGCGUCCGGCUUUGGCUCAGGUCAUGAUCUCAUGAUUCAUGGGUUCGAGCCCCAUGUCAGGCU
rnacentral:tRNA from 1 species